UUAAAGUCUAACCUGCCCACUGAAAUUUUAAAUGGCCGCAGUAUUUUGACUGUGCAAAGGUAGCAUAAUCAUUAGUCUCUUAAUUGGAGGCUGGAAUGAAUGGUUGGACGAAAUAUUAACUGUUUCAUUUAAAUUUUUUAUAGAAUUUUAUUUUUUAGUCAAAAAGCUAAAAUUUAUUUAAAAGACGAGAAGACCCUAUAAAUCUUUAUAUUUUUUUUAUUUUAAUUGUUAAGAUUAAUUUUAUUUUAAUAACAAAAAAUAUUUUAUUGGGGUGAUAUUAAAAUUUAAAAAACUUUUAAUUUUUAAAAACAUUAAUUUAUGAAUAAUUGAUCCAUUAAUAAUGAUUAAAAAAUUAAGUUACUUUAGGGAUAACAGCGUAAUUUUUUUGGAGAGUUCAUAUCGAUAAAAAAGAUUGCGACCUCGAUGUUGGAUUAAGAUAUAAUUUUGGGUGUAGCCGUUCAAAUUUUAAGUCUGUUCGACUUUUAAAUUCUUACAUGAUCUGAGUUCAAACCGGUGUAAGCCAGGUUGGUUUCUAUCUUUAAAAAAUUAUAAUAUUUUAGUACGAAAGGACCAAAUAUUAAAAUAAUUAUAUUUUUAAAAUGAAUAUCAUUAAUAUAA
rnacentral:rRNA from 1 species